rnacentral:rRNA from 1 species
UACAGAGGUGGCAAGCGUUGUUCGGAAUUACUGGGCGUAAAGGGCGCGUAGGCGGCCUUCUGAGUCAGACGUGAAAUCCCCCGGCUCAACCCGGGAACUGCGUCCGAUACUGGUUGGCUUGAAUUCGGGAGAGGGAUGCGGAAUUCCAGGUGUAGCGGUGAAAUGCGUAGAUAUCUGGAGGAACACCGGUGGCGAAGGCGGCAUCCUGGACCAAUAUUGACGCUGAGGAGCGAAAGCUAGGGGAGCAAACGGG